GGGGUGUCAGAGCAGCCCUUCUACUCAGCCGUCCCCAACACCCCAGGGUCCGGAGGCCGCUGACACAGAACGUGCAGGGAGAGGAAAGGAAAUUGCUGGAAGUCACAUAGUGAGCCUGCAGUCUGCCCAGGACUGGACCCUUGGAGGCAGACUCUCACGCCAGCACUUCCACCCACGGCUCUGCAGCACCUGAUGGUGCUUCUGGCUUCUCUUCUGUUCACCCUCUGGGCUGGUGUGAAGCAGUGAGCCCUCCAAGGAGAAAUCUUGGCUCUACAAACUGCACAGGGCUGGGAAAGAACUGCAGACAGCUCCUCCUUAGGAUGAGUCACCAGACCAAGAGAGCAGACGCCCGGUCCCUGUGCUGAAGAAGACGAAACCACACAUCUGAAGAAGUUUCCCACGGCCACCACUUGCUUUAAAUAGCUGCAGAGGAGUGGGGGAAGGGAGGUCGGGAGGCAGGGUUCUCCUGCCCUCGGGCCCUGGGCUGGGGUCUUCACCCCUCCACCCCGCGGGACCCUGGCCUGAAGCGCC